CGCUGCUCGCGUCCCCGAGGCUGCGUGCCGCUUCGCCCCCGCCCACCGCCGGGGAUGGGGAGCCGCUUAAACGCCGCCCCGGCCAUCUUGGCUCUUCGCGUCGCGCUCGGGCUGCCUCUGGGGCUCCGGGCGGAGCAGCAGCAACCGUGUCGGAGGGGGGCCGCGCCCGUGAACCACUUCCGGAGGGAACGCUGGCGGCCUCACCCGCGCCGUCUUCCCGCUGAGGUGCCAGGCGGGCCUUGGCACUGCCGAUGAACCGCCCUCUCGUCCGUCAGAGGCCCUCGGAGGGGCCGUGGGGGCCAAGCGCAGGCUCUGGGGCGGAAGGGCUUCCUCCCCGUAGCGUCCGCGCGUGCGGUCAGUUCCGUUCGUUCCCGAGAGCAGCAGGUGGGCGCCCGGGUGCCGGGGCACUGGGGAGGUCUUUCUGACCAACUUCUCUAACCUGGUUAGGAGAUGCAACGGAAGUCGGCCCUGGAACUGGAGGUCGUGGGGCUGGAUGGAGUGGAACUGGCGCACCAUAAAUCCUAGCAAGGUGGAGGCACAGGUUCACCAGAAGCCCGUGGGCUCCACAAGCACCUCCAUCUUUAACUCUGGGUGGGACGGCGCCACCUCGGGAGUGGACGUGCGAUCCGUGAGUCUGUUGGGCUUGCGGCCUUGGUUGGACUUCUGCUCUUCGUGGGGCUGCCCUCGCAGAAGGUCCAGAAACCGCAGUGGUGAAAAGUUCAGCAGCCUGCUUGCCAACGGGGAAGUUGGUGCAGCAGGAGGACCCUGAUGCUGUGGGAGCUGCCCCAGUUGCUGGCUGGCUUCUGGGCUCAAUUCAAGGGAUGGGUAAAGCCGCAGAUGGAUCAAGUCCCUGCUACCUUCUGGACCGUCUACUCCAAGCAGACCCCGCCUGCUCGCAAAGAAUUCGUUGAGCCUAAGGAAGUGAUAGGCGGCAACUGCGUUAAGCAACAUCGAACGCAAGAGACCGUCCCAAAGGGACCGAAGACAGAGGGCAUCUCGAGAUGUGGCUUUGCAUUGUUUUCAGGAAGUUCUGCAAACUCUGCUGUCUAAUCCUCACAAAAAGGAGAAGCACAAAAUCUACGCACACCCACUUCUUUUCCAUUUCCUGGGCUUCACCUCUCUGCCCCAGCUCCACUGCCUGCAUAGCUCCAUGCUUGAAGUGCUCUCUGUAAAGCAAGCAAACCAAAGGAGAUUCUUGUAGGAAUCAGAAACCAUCAGAAACCAUGGUUCCCUGCAUUGCCACGUCCCCUCGUGCAGCUCCUCAGCCUGGGAGAGUUGCAUCUGGCGUUUUCUUCGUCCAAAGGAAGACACUGGAUGCUAAACCAUCACGCAGUUGGUUUGGUCGUGUGCACCCAGCCACUGCGCGUUGUUUUAACCUAGCCUCUGAGUAGAAUGAGGAUCCAGCACUAACUUGGAAAUCCAGGUGCUAAAUUGCUGUUUGUACCAGAAGACUUGAAUUUCUGGCUACUCUUUUCAGAGCUGUUGGACUCAUCCCCACGACCAUCCAUUCUCAGCCGAAUUGCUUAUCUGUGGCUGCAAAAUGAAGCUGUAGAGUAAGUCCCAAUAGCUGUGUUCACACAAUAGGCUUACCCAAGGUGAGCUUAACCAUGAUUUCCCAUAACGUAGUCAAAAGUGGCUAGCUAGUUUAUGGCCCAGUACGAGCAGGGCUCUUUAAUUUUGCAGGAUUUACCUUUUCUGGGAAGACGUGCCAAAGAUGGUGCUGCAAACUGGCUGGGCAGUCCCAUGGCGUUCAGAGUGUGACCGUCGCCACCGUGCCUGGGCCGGCUGGCAGAGGAGUAGAAGCAGCAGCUGUUAACUUCCCACCCUGCUUUCCGCGCCCUGCCCUGGGCUGCUCUGUGACUUGGGCAGCCUGGCUCUCUCCCACGAGGGGUGCCCGAGCCCAGCUGGCAGUUCCACACACUGAACGAAAGCUGGGAUUGCUUCCACACCUCUCGCUCACACCGAGUGGCGCAAAAGCAGCAGUAAUCCAGGCCACCAGAACAGACUGCAAUAUGGCCUCAUGGAAGGCAGCCACUAGGAGGAAGGCACAGUGGGCUCCCUAUCCUGGCUGCGCUGCUGUCUUUUCACGCUGCCUGCCUGCCUGCCACCCCAACCUCGCCACCUUUCAUAAGCUUGCAUUAACUUACACCCACCACCCAACUUCACCAAGCUCAGCUCGGCUCAGCUCUGACUUUGCCGCUCAGGCUCCUGCAGGAGAGAGAGAAGGGAACAGGCCAAGGCGUCCACUCCUUCCCGCUUGGAAGUGGGAAACU